AAUAGUUUUAUGCCACAUCAGCACUCUUAUCCUGAAUCUCAGGAUUUUAUCCUGAAAAAAAUCAAAUCCAAAUUAAAAUACUAAAAUUCAAGAUAAAAUCCUGAAAUUCAGGAUAAGAAUCCUGAUGUGGCAUAAAACUAUU
rfam:Gossypium arboreum cultivar AKA8401 contig_40062_1, whole genome shotgun sequence.